GAGAAGGACGGGCAGCAGGUUGAGGCCGAUCGGAGGUGAGGGUCCCGAUGUCCUGGUGUACAGCUUGGACUUUGGUGGGCAUCUGCGGAUGAUAAAGCGAGUGCAGAACCUGCUUGGCCACUAUCUUAUCCAUGGCUUCCGGCUUGCCUGAUUGGAUACGCCUGGAAGGAGCUGACCAUAGUGGCAGGUGCUGUUUCCAACCAGCUCUUGGUCUGGUACCCAGCAACUGCCUUAGCAGACAACAAACCUGUAGCACCUGACCGACGAAUCAGUGGGCAUGUGGGCAUCAUCUUCAGCAUGUCAUACCUGGAAAGCAAGGGAUUGCUGGCUACAGCUUCAGAAGACCGAAGCGUUCGUAUCUGGAAGGUGGGCGACCUGCGAGUGCCUGGGGGUCGGGUGCAGAAUAUUGGGCACUGCUUUGGGCACAGCGCCCGUGUGUGGCAGGUCAAGCUUCUAGAGAAUUACCUUAUCAGUGCAGGAGAGGAUUGUGUCUGCUUGGUGUGGAGCCAUGAAGGUGAGAUCCUCCAGGCCUUUCGGGGACACCAGGGACGUGGG
rnacentral:sRNA from 1 species